rnacentral:tmRNA from 1 species
GGGAAUGCACCGGUUUCGACGGAUUGUUAGGUGUUUAAAACUGCAUAUGGUGGUCCUGCCAGGCACCUAAAAAAGGGUAGAAAACUACAAUCGGCAACGAUUACAAUUACGCUUUAGCAGCUUAAUAAAGCAGCUAACACUUCGUUUUCUCUCCACCUCUCGGCGGAAAUGAAGUGAUAAACAGAGAGGUUGGCCUUGAGUGAUACUCUGUAGCUUAAGGUAAGAUUUUCAGAGUUGGUGAUAAGCAUUUUGUCGGUUUAGCCGUUUAUCACGAGACAAAGAAAACCAGACUAAAUAUGUAGAAGUUUUAAUGGUCUGCUUUCCGGACCCGGGUUCGACUCCCGGCAUUUCCACAA